rnacentral:rRNA from 1 species
AGUGAACGCUGGCGGUAGGCCUAACACAUGCCAGUCGAACGGCAGCACAGUAAGAGCUUGCUCUUACGGGUGGCGAGUGGCGGACGGGUGAGGAAUACAUCGGAAUCUACUUUUUCGUGGGGGAUAACGUAGGGAAACUUACGCUAAUACCGCAUACGACCUACGGGUGAAAGCAGGGGAUCUUCGGACCUUGCGCGAUUGAAUGAGCCGAUGUCGGAUUAGCUAGUUGGCGGGGUAAAGGCCCACCAAGGCGACGAUCCGUAGCUGGUCUGAGAGGAUGAUCAGCCACACUGGAACUGAGACACGGUCCAGACUCCUACGGGAGGCAGCAGUGGGGAAUAUUGGACAAUGGGCGCAAGCCUGAUCCAGCCAUACCGCGUGGGUGAAGAAGGCGUUCGGGUUGUAAAGCCCUUUUGUUGGGAAAGAAAAGCAGCAGGUUAAUACCCCGCUGUUCUGACGGUACCCAAAGAAUAAGCACCGGCUAACUUCGUG